rnacentral:rRNA from 1 species
CCUACGGGUGGCAGCAGUGGGGAAUAUUGGACAAUGGGCGAAAGCCUGAUCCAGCCAUGCCGCGUGUGUGAAGAAGGCCUUCGGGUUGUAAAGCACUUUCAGUGGGGAAGAAAGCCUUGGGGCUAAUACCCUCGAGGAAGGACAUCACCCACAGAAGAAGCACCGGCUAACUCCGUGCCAGCAGCCGCGGUAAUACGGAGGGUGCGAGCGUUAAUCGGAAUUACUGGGCGUAAAGCGCGCGUAGGCGGUCUGAUAAGCCGGUUGUGAAAGCCCCGGGCUCAACCUGGGAACGGCAUCCGGAACUGUCAGGCUAGAAUGCAGGAGAGGAAGGUAGAAUUCCCGGUGUAGCGGUGAAAUGCGUAGAGAUCGGGAGGAAUACCAGUGGCGAAGGCGGCCUUCUGGACUGACACUGACGCUGAGGUGCGAAAGCGUGGGUAGCAAACAGGAUUAGAUACCCUGGUAGUC